CCUACGGGGGGCUGCAGUGGGGAAUAUUGGACAAUGGGGGGAACCCUGAUCCAGCCAUGCCGCGUGUGUGAAGAAGGCCCUCGGGUUGUAAAGCACUUUCAGUGAGGAAGAACGCCUGGUGGUUAAUACCCAUCAGGAAAGACAUCACUCACAGAAGAAGCACCGGCUAACUCCGUGCCAGCAGCCGCGGUAAUACGGAGGGUGCGAGCGUUAAUCGGAAUUACUGGGCGUAAAGCGCGCGUAGGUGGCUUGAUAAGCCGGUUGUGAAAGCCCCGGGCUCAACCUGGGAACGGCAUCCGGAACUGUCAAGCUAGAGUGCAGGAGAGGAAGGUAGAAUUCCCGGUGUAGCGGUGAAAUGCGUAGAGAUCGGGAGGAAUACCAGUGGCGAAGGCGGCCUUCUGGACUGACACUGACGCUGAGGUGCGAAAGCGUGGGUAGCAAACAGGAUUAGAUACCCCAGUAGUC
rnacentral:rRNA from 1 species